rnacentral:autocatalytically_spliced_intron from 1 species
GAAGAUAUAGUCUGCACUCCUAGAAAUAGGG